rnacentral:rRNA from 1 species
CAGUCGCCGCGGGAAUACGUAGGGUGCAAGCGUUAAUCGGAAUUACUGGGCGUAAAGCGUGCGCAGGCGGUUUGUUAAGACAGAUGUGAAAUCCCCGGGCUCAACCUGGGAACUGCAUUUGUGACUGGCAAGCUAGAGUGUGGCAGAGGGGGGUGGAAUUCCGCGUGUAGCAGUGAAAUGCGUAGAUAUGCGGAGGAACACCGAUGGCGAAGGCAGCCCCCUGGGCCAACACUGACGCUCAUGCACGAAAGCGUGGGGAGCAAACAGGAUUAGAUACCCGGGUAGUCCCUGUCUCUUAUAA